CCCCUAGAUGUUCUGGGCCGCACGCGCGCUACACUGAACAGUUCAACAAGUCUUAACCUCGGCCGAUAGGUCUGGGUAAUCUUUGAACGCUGUUCGUGAUUGGGAUAGACCUUUGCAAUUAUGGGUCUUCAACGAGGAAUUCCUAGUAAACGCAAGUCAUCAGCUUGCAUUGAUUACGUCCCUGCCCUUUGUACACACCGCCCGUCGCACCUACCGAUUGAAUGGUCCGGUGAAAUCUCGGGACGGCGGCUUGGUCGCUUGCGUCCGACUGCUGAAACUUGAUUAAACCAUAUCAUUUAGAGGAAGGUGAAGUCGUAACA
rnacentral:rRNA from 1 species